rnacentral:misc_RNA from 1 species
AACCAUUCUCACCUGCGGCUAGACCUGCGGAGGGAUCAUUACCUAGAGUUGUAGGCUUUGCCUGCUAUCUCUUACCCAUGUCUUUUGAGUACCUUACGUUUCCUCGGCGGGUUCGCCCGCCGGUUGGACAAAACUUAAACCCUUUGUAGUUGCAAUCAGCGUCUGAAAAAACUUAAUAGUUACAACUUUUAACAAUGGAUCU